UCAGUUUUUAUACGCAUAAAAAUAUUUCAUAUUAUUACAGUACAGUAUAACAGUGACCGUCAGUUGCUUUCUUUUCAUCUUUUUGUAUGAAGCGCCGACCGCGCCACGUCACAAUCACCUACCGAACUCGCGUGAGUCCUCCCACCGCCCACGCGUGACAUCCGAAAGAAUACAAAAUGAAAUAAAUAAAUAACGUUACAUGAGCAAGGUGCAGUUCCGCCAGGAGCCGUGAGUGUGUGUGCGCGCGUGAAUGUGUGUGUGGCGUCUGUCUGAAACAUCAACCGCUUGCGUUAGACAUUCAAAACGGGGGAAAUAUCAGCACCACCAUCCUCAUCAUCUUCAUCAUCCUCCUUCUGUUCCGGGCGGAAAACCUGUGCGCGCGCCAGCCAAAUUAAAUUAGAGUGGUGAAAUUAUUUGUGCGAGCUGCCUAUGAAGGGGAGGAAGGUGUGACACACACACUACAGAGUGUGUGUUGUGGUUUGCAUUAGUGUUAAUGCUCUUACUUACUACUCUCUUAAUUAUCAACCGUGCAAAACUGGAGCACACAUGUCGUGAUCUGAGAAAAGCAUCGGGUUAUUCUUAUGGAUUAACAUAUGAUCUGAAUUCAACCCAGGUCAAUGUUUAAUGGAUGAGUUCUGGUAAACUAGGGCGAGCAUUUCUUUCACAGCAUUCAACAAGUAUUGCUUUGUGCUGCUUUAAUGCUGGUGCAUUCAUGGUGACAUGCAUUGAUUCUUACACCAGCAUUCAUGUGGAAUAACACGAGCAGCAUUCGUGCAGGGUGUCAGGGAUGAGUAAUCCGGGAGAGACGGAGACAGAGAGAGAAACAGACAACAGAGCAGAGCUUGUGUGAACUCGUGAAAUAAAAGCAUGGAA